CGGCACGGGUGAGUAACACGUAUCCAACCUGCCGUCUACUCUUGGACAGCUUCUGAAGGAAGAUUAAUACAAGAUGGCAUCAUGAGUUCACAUGUUCACAUGAUUAAAGGUAUUCCGGUAGACGAUGGGGAUGCGUUCCAUUAGAUAGUAGGCGGGGUAACGGCCCACCUAGUCUUCGAUGGAUAGGGGUUCUGAGAGGAAGGUCCCCCACAUUGGAACUGAGACGCGGUCCAA
rnacentral:rRNA from 1 species